rnacentral:rRNA from 1 species
UACGUAGGGGGCAAGCGUUGUCCGGAUUUAUUGGGCGUAAAGAGCGUGUAGGCGGCCAGGUAGGUCAGCUGUGAAAACUCGAGGCUCAACCUCGAGAUGUCGGCUGAAACCAUCUGGCUAGAGUCCGGAAGAGGAGAAUGGAAUUCCCGGUGUAGCGGUGAAAUGCGCAGAUAUCGGGAAGAACACCCGUGGCGAAGGCGGUUCUCUGGGACGGUACUGACGCUGAGGCGCGAAAGCGUGGGGAGCGAACAGG